GUCGUAACAAGGUUUCCGUAGGUGAACCUGCGGAAGGAUCAUUACCACACCGAUCCAAGAUCUUUUUCACCGCGAACCGUGGCCCCUCAAUAGCUAGUGGAAUUUGUUGGAUGGAGCGGAACCUGACUUAUGUUGUGCACCGAUUCGUUCAGCGAUCCACUGGUGGGACCGCAAGCCAAAGUGCCAUGGUUGCUUCGGCAGCUUUGGUGCGCCCCGUCACUUACGACGUUAACCGGUCUUGACCAAACAAACUGAACCAAAAAGGGCUCGAUUGGAACUGUGGCCUUAUCGCCCAGUAACAGCGGCCUGACAAAAAGUAAAAUACCUUACAACUUUCAGCGAUGGAUGUCUAGGUUCCCA
rnacentral:misc_RNA from 1 species